GAGAACCUAUGGAGUGUGACCCUCUGGCAGACAACUCUGUCCAGCCCAAGAUCAUCUACAUCUUCAUCAUUCCUUGACAGAAAACCGUUGAAACUGUUUGGAUACUGAAUGAUGGCUACAGCCCAGUCCCUUCCUCUGGAGCUGUGGUGGUGCCACAUUGCUGUAAUCCCAUUGCACUGGUCACCAGCAUAGGAUCCACUUCCCCAGGGAUGGAUCCCUGUCCUUGAGCCUUAACAGAUCAGUGAGGUAAGGAGAAGGAAAGGCCUCUGCCAUCAUCAAAGACAACUCCAGACUCUUCCGAGUCUUGUCCAAAAGCUUCAGUAAUUUACAGUUCCUUAUGGUGAGACACUUCUUCUGGUAUUAACGUCAUGAGCAUUUUAAAAUGUUAUCAGACAGUAAUUACUAUCACAACUUUUAAUUCUGUGUUUCUGUUUCAAAUUUUCCUCAGUUCUAUCAGAACCAAAAGUUAAUGCCCGUUGGCUAAUUUCCAGUGCAUGCUUCCACAGAACAACUGCUGCCUUUAACUGGUGGAGAGAUCAAGGCUUGAACUGACAAAAGACAUCUGUAUUUUGGAAAACAAAUUAAUGUUUAUGUUUUAAUUUAUAAGUUCCUGGCUCUUUUAUGGUUCCUGUUUUUCAAGUAAUGUCUCUUUGGAUCCCUAGCUGAUGGAGAGUCAAAAUGGAAAAGGCCCAUGAGAGAAUUAUCACAAUAGAACAUCUGGUCUGCAUUGGAAAAAGCUGAGAAAGAUAUUCAACAUCUCUGAGACCAAGAGGCAGCUAUGAGGCAGUUUGGAAAGUCAGUCUAUGAAAAAUCGUGCAGGUUGUGGCCACCUGGGCCAAUCUAGUGUUGUUUUGGGAAGAGCUACUCUGCUUCCUUGCAUCUGAAUUUUAAUGUCACUUCAGCACGGAUAUGUGAGAACUGGGAGUGGUAUGAAAGGUGUUUGCUUUUCAUAAUGUUAAUCUGAGUCCCAGCAUUGUCCUAAUUAUAUUGUGGGUUUUUGCCAGUCUCCUAAGUUUUCUUUUGAGCAUGUAGGCUGGAGUCAAAAGGCUUUCCCAGGGUUUUGGCAUAGCUUUAUAGGAAAAUGGAUGGAAAUUACUUUGUAUAUUUUUGGAAGAAUAUUUUGCAUCCUGCUUUAAACUGUUCCAGAAGGUGAAAGGACGUUAGCUAGACUGUGUAUUGGCUCGUGUACUGGUAUGUCACUAAUGGCAAGGAGUUUUGCUUCACCUAAUUGUUCCUGUUUUCUGCAGCCACAGACUAUGAGAAAUGCAAAGAAAUAAUGAGCCAACCAGGGCAAUAAAGGCACUACUGGAUUCAGAGGGAACAAACUCCUUCCACCACAUGAAACUUUCGUCUUUUAAGUCAUCAUAGCUCAUGCAGAACAGAAACAAUUUGACAUGUAUAACAAGAAACACUGCAAUUGUUUGCCAAACAAAGACUUAUACUGCAGAUGGAAGAACUGAUGAAAAUUGUUUAUAGAUGGGGAACUAAAUGUAGAUUUUUCAAGAACAAGGUUGCUCUCUUCCGUGCCAAGACAAACAACAAAUCUAAUAGAAGUCUCAUUUCUUUAGGCUGCCUGAGGACCCACUGGAAAAUCUAUGGACUUUUCUCCACAGAAAAUUUGUGUAUCGUCAAUAUGUAAGUGGAUUGUCCACAGUUACACUGUGGCAGCUGCAGAGGAAGUGGAAGGUUCUCAGGAAUACAUUAGGGAGAACUGGAUUUUUGGCUUCUGAUAUAGUGUGGAGCGCCUUUGGAAACUGUGGAAGUUUAUGAGCUGGAUGUUACUGCUACAAAAGGUUAUCUAUGAGUUAAACAUAAUAGUAAUUAAUCUGCUAUCUUUAGAUCCUAACACUAACAACAUGAUGAAAUUGAGAAUUCCUAUUCUGUAGAAUUGCAGUUUUCCAGGAUGCCUUCAUUCCUACGAAGAUGCCCUGAUCUGCACUUAGUUUUCAGUGUUACCUUUAGCAAUCUGUGCACAGAUGUUUUUACAAGGCACUAUGUAGUCAUCCCAAACAACUGGUUUUAAUGGGCCAGUUAUUUAGGAAAAGCAUGUAAUGAGAACAUAAAUACAAUCCCUGAUACUGACAUAAAAGCAUGUAUUAGCAGAGUAAUAUAGUUUGUAUUGCCCUGAUAGAUAGCAGACCCUGGAAAUAUAAAACUUGUCAUGUCCUUAAAAUUCUGUUAUAUCUGUAAACAUAUAUGUCUUGGAAAAGAGGGCCCACAGCAUCCGAGACUGCUUUAGGAAAAGUACUGCCAGGAGAUCAAAGGAGGUGAUUAUUCUCCUUUACUCAGCACUGGUGAGACCUCAGUGGAAGUGCUGUGCCCAGCUCUGGGCUCCCCACAAGAGGAAGGACAUGGACAUACUGGAGUGAGGGCAGGAAAGGGCCAUGAAGAUGAUUAAGAGGAGCACCUGUCAUGUGGCUGCCUUAAGGGGUUUUGAAGUUGAUGUCCUUGAAGAUACUCAAAACCCAACUGGGCGAGCUCCUGAGCAGCCUGCUCUGGGUGAUUCUGCUUUGUGUUGGACUGGUUUGGACUGGAUGAUCUCCAGAGGUGCUUCCAGACUGUGAAUAUUUGAAGCAGUUUGGUUAUGUCUUGUCAGCAUUUUAGCUGGAACUCAAUUAUUUAGGAAUCCUAAAGAGAGCAAAGGCUGUGACCCUAGAAAUCCAUCCAGAUGGCUGAGGCCCAGAAAAGGCAUAAUGAGAGCUGCUAAGUAUUUUGAAUGUCUCAUCAGAGUGAUAUUUCACUUAAAAAUACAAAUAUAGACAUGACUUGGGUCUUAAUGACACUGAAUACCCAUAAUGUUCUCUCACUUCAGCUGGACUGCAGAUGGUAACAACCUCUCUCUAUCUGAGCACGCAUAUUUUAGUUUAAUCUUGCUCUGUAAAAUCUUAUCACAUACUUUACUCUAGAAAUUAAUAUUUGGAGCUUUAUGGUGCAGAAUUUAUUUGUUGAUUUGUUCCACAAUUUCUUUCCUUACUAGUACUGAUAUUAAUAAAUUAAAAUGUAUUUUGACAUAUUCAGUAAUAAGCUCAUACUAUGUCUCAAGGAGUUGAGAAUAUCAUAAUUUGAGCAAGGUAAAAUCAAAAUAUGUAUUGCAUUGCAUAUUCUAUGGCACUUAGUUUGUAACUAUUCUUACAGCACCUUCAGAAUAAGAACAAAGAUUAAAUUCAAAAAAGACUUUAAUAGUUUUAAAACAACAAGAUUUAUGUGGAAAGGCAAAGAUAAUGUAAGAAGAUUCACCUGUGGUUUUUCAUCAUGAAAAUGCCAACAAACUAACUUGCAGUUUUGAGAAUUCCCAGAUCCUCCUCCUUUUGAAAACUCUUUGUCUUUCAUGUUGCCUCUAAGAAUAAAAAGGAAAGCACACUGGAAAACAAGAAAAUGAGAAAUGUUGCACAAGGAAUUGGGAGAUAAAUAGAUUAUAAAGCAUUUGAUUUGAUUUUGGGGUUGCACUUCAGCAAGUGAAACAGUAAGUAAAUAACCUGUUUCUUUAUCAAUACAUGGAGUCACAUUGAGACUGACAGACCAAGACAUAAAUGUAUAAAUAGCACCUCUGAUAAUUAUUAGAUGUCAAAUUUUGCUACGGAUGAGCCCAUCCCAAAACCACAAAAUUAAGACUUCAGACAAAAAUAACACAUGAAGGUCAAAUACACUUAGUCAUAAGUUGCUGUCUUCUGCCACCACUUUUCCCUGACUUAAUGCUUUUACAGCAUAUCUCCUCUGAUUCAGGCUCCUCUAUAGUCUCUGCGUGGGACUGGGGGUUUGGUGGGGACAGUAUUACUUUAAAUUGACACCUCUAGCAGCAGUUCCUACUUGUACUGUUUUCCUUUUAUAAAUGUAUAACCUAUUUCAUCUAUCAAAGCCUGACUUAGCUCCAAGUCACCCAUUUCUCAGGGAAAUUAAAUCUAAUGUCUAAUAAGCAUAGAAGCUUAUGCAACUUUCAUUCCCCGAAAAAAAAGUAUUAAAUAACAUAAUAAUAUUACCUUGUCUUUUGAUAGCUAGAGACUUGUGCACUUUGUUUUUCUGUAGACCAGAUUGGUUCUGCAUUUGGGCUUGAGGAGGCCAGGUUUAUCCAUCCCUUUUUGCAGACUUUCUGAAUGUCACCUCAAAAUUCUCCUCUUGUUAAAGGACCCCCUGAAACUUUCAUGUGUAAGGUUUGAUCCCUUUCUCCACUUCUCCCUGUGGUAGGAGCCCCCUCUGUUCCCCCACACAAGGGCUGUGUACCCCGUGGUCUUACCCUGGGGGUUCUGGCUGCUUUUUCACUCAUUCUCUCCCUCACAAGAUUUUCUCCAGCCUGACCAAAUUUCUGCCUGUUCCAUCCCAUCUUCUAUUAAUACCCACCACGGUUCUGUGUCAGUGGGUGCAACAUUUGAAAAUGCAGAAAUCUGCCUCUAAACCAUGUAGAUUAGCAACAUAAUUUCAGGGGUUUGCCUCCUGCAUGUGUCAGUUCAAUAAGUGGGUUUAUAGGGAAUAAUUUUUAACUGUUGCAGCCCUCCAAAACCGCUUCUCUCACUUCUGUAAUACAUAAAGUGACAUAAGGUCACUGAUGCUGGGGAAAUUGGUUUCCUGGUUGAUAUGCUAAUUCAGCAAGAAAUCAGUUCUUGCAGAAACCCAAAGAAAAUUAUUUUAAUAUAGUGCCAUGCUACUCUGUUGACUUUUAGGAAAGAGAUAAUUAAAAUAUUCAAGGGAGUUCCAAGUCUCUGGAGAAAAUACCAUUAUGGUGAUAUAAAGCUAUUUUUGCCUCACAGCUUAUUAGCUUCUUUCCUAAAAGCAAAUCAGUUGAAUGUGAUGGGCACAAAAAUAACAUUUACAUGUGCUCAAAAAAAUAAGAAAUAAGAUACUUUUAUAAACUGAGUUCAAUAUAAGAAUAGACUCGGUUCAGUCUCUUCUGUGUCACUCACCCUGUGUUUACAGUAACUGCUCCUGCAAUUUUCUGGAUGAAAACUUCCAUCCAGAUACAUCUAAGGCCAUUAAUAAGUCUGCACGAUGCAUCUGAUUGCAAUGGGGAAUAGAAUUACACUGAUGAUGUCUAAGGAGAAAGAGAAUCUCUGCACUCAGUGUGAAUAAGGAGUAGCCAAUGCCUUGUUUUUUCAGAAAUAAAUAAUUAAAUUAAAUUGAAAACAACAGCCAAUCUAUAAGAAUAAUCACUAAGAGUUUGAAAGCCCUGUAUUUUUUCCUAACAGUGCACUUAUAGUAGGCUAUUACUGAGUACAAAAAGUAAAAUAACUGUAAUAUUUACUGUAUGAAUAUCCCAAGGGAAAAAAACUUAGUAGCAUAAGUUGUUUCAUCUUUUUAGAGGUACAGCAGAUAGAGUGUUCAUAACAGGAACACCCUGUUACCUCAACUGUGAAAGGUUCUGGGAAUCUAAUGACCAACAGACUGGAAUUUAAAUUUAUUUUUGUUUGGUUUGUAUUUCAGUGAGCAUUUGAAAGACCCACCAGUUUAUCUUUGUCAGAGAUUAUUUUUCUUUUGGCUUAGCUUAGACACCAAUCUCACUGUUGAGUUUACAUUUAUGGAGCAGGACCUGGGGUUUUCUCCAUGUGUUCAGCAUUAUGAUUCUGACUUUGCAGAUCUCGUUGCUUGGGAUAGUUGCAAAAGUCAUGUCUGCUUAUACAGCAACAACAGAACUGGGGUUCAGAUGCUGCUGAUUAGUCAAUUGAGAAGGAACAAAAUUAGUUUUGAAGGCUGCCACUUUUCUUGGCUGGUGUGCAGAAGAGUUGGUAAAAGCUGCAAAGACAACUGAGUACCCUGAUGACAGUAUUUAUUAUACAUUUUAUUUCAUAAGUGGAUUUUUAGAAAUAAUUUAUUUUGUUAUUUUGCUCUGCUUUAGCAAAUCAUGUGUGACUGUACUUGUUUUUCCACAAUGCCUGUUUUAGUUGUUUUCGUUGCCAUUUGUUCUCACUCCGUGUAGUACCGUCCACAAGGUGGUGCCACAGCUAAGAAGUUAGCAAUAAAUAAGACAAAUAUAAUUUGCUAAUUCUACCUGCUUUUUGCAACUAACUAAAGUAUCUGCACCUUUAAAGAAUUAAUAAUUUUUUUCAUAAGCAUAGUAUCACAGGUUUGCAAGUUUUUGUUUUAAACCCCUUGUGUGUCUGCCUGCUGAGUGGGAGCAGCACCCACAGACCUGUGUCCAUCCCAGAUCAUGUACAAAAAUGAAAAGACAGCUCAGGGUUAAGCAGACAGACUGAUGAAGAGCUGUGUGUGUUCAGGCAGGGUUAUCCAUGCUGUGCCCCAUGGAUGUGCCCUAUACAUAUGUAGAUCACUUCAGCAAUACCCCAGGAGUCAGCCCAAAUCCUGACAAGCAGAAUAGUUCGUCUGCAACUUCAGCUUCCAUGCACUUACCCUGGUGUGGCUGUGGCACAUCAAACCCUAAUUUUCCAAGUUUUUCUACAGCAAGGGAUAGCCAAACUCCCUGUCUUAUGAUAAUGUACAGUUGACUUAAUUCCAAAGGGGUAUGAAGUGCUUACAGAGGGCCCUGCUAUGAGAGCAGCUGGGUUAAUGUAUACAGGUAAAUUCAGUAGUAUUUUUCCUUCAAUCAUAGUUAAAAAGGCAGCCAUCCCAAACUGUGUUCAGCACAAGUGAUCAAGUUUAUGAGCAUCUUUCAAUACAAGAUCAGACUAGAAAAAGUAAAAGGCAAUAACAGGGAACAUAAGAUGUGAAAUGUACCACCCAAUACAGAAAAGGCAAUAAAACUUACAGGAAAAAUUUGUUUGAAUGGGUCUGAAUGACUGCACUGUUUUAUAGCAGGCCUGUAUGUCCCUGAAGAGCUGAAGUGCAGAAGGCCUUGGUCAUUUCUCCCUGAAUGUGUGUGUUAGUUCUUCAGCUACCCUUGGCCACAAGGCCGUGGUUGCUUCUUGCACACCUGCCCUGCUCCCCUCAGUGACCUCUGCAAUACAGAUAUUUUACAUAGAGAAGAAAUUAUGCUCUAUUCUGAAGGGAAUGACAGAGCAUCUGAGAUCAUACAUUUAAGUCUCUGCUUUAUGUAAACCUCAGUACGGACAUUAUUCUGAGAUCAAGAAGGAGACAAUACAUUGCCAUCUGAAAGCACAAGAAAGAUCAAAAUAAGUUUUCAAUGUGUCACCGAAACCACAGUGCUAGGUUUCUGUUAAGGAGAAUGAGUAAUACCAUUCUAGCUGUGAAGAAUGCUGUGAGUGGGUAAUAAUUCCAUCUAACUGAUAGGGCAGAUUUUCUGCAAGAAAAUAAAUUAUCCCAACUAAAAUAUUGCCCUAUUUCUUCAGCUCACUGAGAAAGGCCACUCACCAUACCCAUUUAGCUGCUUGUCUAACAUUAGGAUAUCCUCCAUCCAACAUUCCCAACCCAAUCUUGCAAUUCAGGAACAGACUGGCUCCAACCCUGGCCUGGACCACAGCUAAAUCUAUAUCCAUGCUUGUAAUACUGUUGCAGAUCAAUAAUUCAAUGCUAUACUGUAUAAAUUGGUUUGUUGAAAUGAUAGUUAUGAAUGAAGUUCUAAAAAGACACUGCAACAUAUAAUAAAGGACUGACCUACUGACAGUUCUAAUGGGGAUGUGAUUAACAUAUACAUAAAAUAGCCCAAAGCCCAAUGACUUGCUUCAUGAUUUCAUGAAAAACUUUUUAUUGUUUUCUAUCUAUAUUAUUUAACAUUAAGAAUACAUUUGUCUUUAUAAAUUUAUAAAUGCUACUGAUCUGAUAUUUUUGUGCUGGCAGUCUUAACACUGAACAAAAGUAUAGUUUUGUCAGACCUCAUAUGCACAAAAAUUUUAAAUAAUAAUGUUGCUGAUGCCUCAUAAUAUGCCUUUGCAUUAUGGCAGUCUCAUUAUAAUAUUCUUUUGGAAAUGUAACCUGCUUAGGUAAGCUUUGAUUUACAAGAUAAUAUUAAGACAUGUUUAAUUUUAAGUAUGAUCUUUACUAUUUUCCUGAACAGGAAUAUCUGUCCUUAGUUUAAACUUCUAAUAUCCUGUUUAACAAGGAAACAGCUUCAAUCGUACUAAAAGUGCUUAAUGUUAAGAAAGUUUUCACAUUUGGUUGCUGGGAUUAGGGCUUUAAAAACAAAGGUCAGGUGAAGAUGCCUUCUUGGAAUACACUAGGAUAUAAGCCUCUAUUUUUGUUUGUAGUUCAUAAAUCUACAUAUUACAUAAACCAGUAAUAACUUUAAUAUAAUUAUAUUUGUAUUUGUGUGAGUGACUGGAGUUGAACAGCACACCUACAUGGCUGCAGCAUAUGUGAAUCUUCCUGCAGUACAUUCUGGUGUUGGCUUUCAUUAGACAGUAAGAAAUGUUGCCUGCAAAAAUAUCUCACAGCUUCAAAAGGAGACUAAUGUCUGUCUUUUUCACAUGGGAAAUGUAUUUCAUCAUCCCUCACGUGACAUCGAAAUCAGGUCUGUGGAAAUGAAAAUACCAGGCUCUGCACACCAUAGGAUUUGUAAUUAGCUUGAGAUAUCCCAGAGAAAAUUCUGUAAGUUACUUUAGUCUCUUUAUUUUGUCUUGUCUCAGAUCUGUCUGAUUUUGUUUGAGUUUAUGAGUAAUUUUUGGUGGAAAUGUCUGUGUUGCAAUUGAAAUGCUCUAACAAGUCCUCAUCACUAAAAUGCACUGAGUUCUUUUACUUCUGAGGAGCCAUGUGGAGUCCUGGAGUCCUUGUGGCUGUUGGGGAACUCAGGAGCUUCCUGGUCUCACUUCAGCCAUAUGACAGAACCCCAAAAACACCUGGGAUGUCUUUAGGUCUUAAAUAUUUAAUUUAAAUGUCUAAAAGGUAAGAGUUUCUUAAGCAUCAUAAGACAUGAGAGUUAACAGAUCAGCCUGAGCCAUGCCUCUUGCAUUUACUUUUUCAAUAAAGUUGUCAGGAUGCUGCCCAGCCAGGCUGCCAGAUGUGCUCUCCAUGUUUGGGUAAGUAAUCACUUGGUCCUGGGAUCUUCUGCACAAGCUAUGCCUGAACCCACUGCAGUUAUUUUAGGUGACACACUAAAGUGGUCAGCAUAAACUGAGAAGACUUUGUCCAGCACUUUGUCAGCAUGCCAGAAGAAAUUCCUUGGGAUUCAGAGUCUAAGAUUUCAUUUCAGUUAAUUGUCAGGAUGAUGAAUAUUAUUUAUUCCACACU